CGGAUUAGCUAGUUGGUGAGGUAAUGGCUCACCAAGGCGACGAUCCGUAACUGGUCUGAGAGGAUGAUCAGUCACACUGGAACUGAGACACGGUCCAGACUCCUACGGGAGGCAGCAGUGGGGAAUAUUGGACAAUGGGCGAAAGCCUGAUCCAGCCAUGCCGCGUGUGUGAAGAAGGUCUUCGGAUUGUAAAGCACUUUAAGUUGGGAGGAAGGGCAGUUACCUAAUACGUAAUUGUUUUGACGUUACCGACAGAAUAAGCACCGGCUAACUCUGUGCCAGCAGCCGCGGUAAUACAGAGGGUGCAAGCGUUAAUCGGAAUUACUGGGCGUAAAGCGCGCGUAGGUGGUUCGUUAAGUUGGAUGUGAAAGCCCCGGGCUCAACCUGGGAACUGCAUUCAAAACUGUCGAGCUAGAGUAUGGUAGAGGGUGGGUGGAAUUUCCUGUGUAGCGGUGAAAUGCGUAGAUAUAGGAAGGAACACCAGUGGCGAAGGCGACCACCUGGACUGAUACUGACACUGAGGUGCGAA
rnacentral:rRNA from 1 species